AAGUCGUAACAAGGUUUCCGUAGGUGAACCUGCGGAAGGAUCAUUAACAAAUCAUGUUCGGGCCCUCGGGCCCGAUAACAUUCACCCUUAGGCCGUGGUGCUUCGGCACCGGGUCUUUGGUUCGGCAUCCGCAAGGAAGCCAACAUAGACGCUUGUAUGUUUGACAGUAUUAGUUGACACUUUAAAAAUGACAACUUUUAACAAUGGAUCUCUUGGCUCUU
rnacentral:misc_RNA from 1 species